rnacentral:rRNA from 1 species
CGAACGCUGGCGGCAGGCCUAACACAUGCAAGUCGAGCGAAGUCUUCGGACUUAGCGGCGGACGGGUUAGUAACGCGUGGGAAUGUGCCUCUGGGUGCGGAACAACCGUUGGAAACGACGGCUAAUACCGCAUGACGUCUACGGACCAAAGAUUUAUCGCCCAGAGAUCAGCCCGCGUUGGAUUAGCUAGUUGGGGGGUAAUGGCCCACCAAGGCGACGAUCCAUAGCUGGUUUGAGAGGAUGAUCAGCAACACUGGGACUGAGACACGGCCCAGACUCCUACGGGAGGCAGCAGUGGGGAAUCUUGGACAAUGGGCGCAAGCCUGAUCCAGCCAUGCCGCGUGAGCGAUGAAGGCCUUAGGGUUGUAAAGCUCUUUCACCGGUGAAGAUAAUGACGGUAGCCGGAGAAGAAGCCCCGGCUAACUCCGUG